UACGGGGGGGGCAAGCGUUGUUCGGAAUUACUGGGCGUAAAGGGCUCGUAGGUUGCCAACUAAGUCAGACGUGAAAUCCCUCAGCUUAACUGGGGAACUGCGUCUGAUACUGGAUGGCUUGAGUUUGGGAGAGGGAUGCGGAAUUCCAGGUGUAGCGGUGAAAUGCGUAGAGAUGUGGAGGAACACCAAUGGCGAAGGCAGCCUUCUGGGCCAACACUGACACUCAUGCACGAAAGCGUGGGGAGCAAACAGG
rnacentral:rRNA from 1 species